UAAUAUUGCUUAAAUUAUAAGUCAUCAUAUGUCAGACUCGUUGAAAUAUUGUCACAAGAGUUAAAUCCCUAAGCUUAAUUUCUCCUUUUAUCAGUACCACAAAGCCUCCAUUUUUUCACCACUUGUCGGCAACAAAAAUUUCAACGACGCAAACAUUCAAAGCUCUGAAUUCAAAUCUAUUCAAAAUGUCAUCACUGAAUCUGAUUCCACCUCUGUCACAACGAUUUUUUUGCUGCCGAUUAUGUUGCAAUGUCGCCAUCAGAUGUGUUGCAUGACGCUCGUCGAGGAUUUUAACCGCCACCACUGACGAUGGUCACAACACUACCGGCGACCGGCAAGGCUAGAUCCACGUGCACUGCAGCUUGGGCGGCCAGAUCUACAAGAUUCGGUGAGCGACAGAGUUAGAUCUACGAGAUUUGACGGUAUUGUUGCAACCUCUGUGCCUUACUCAUUUCACAAAAUGUCACUCCUCUUCUUCACAACAGGUUUGUUAUGACGAAACUUUGAUAAGUUUUUUUUUUUUUUUUUUUUUUUUUUUUUUUUUUUUUUUUUUUUAUAAAUCUUCAUAUAAUUAUUUACGUGGUUAUUUAUGGUGUUUGCAUCUUACUCCAUCUUUGCUACUGAUUUCGUGUUAAAGGUUUAAUAAAAAUUAGUGAAUAACCUAAAGUCAAUUGUGAUUUUUUUAUUUAUAAUUUUUAAGAUUUGUAAAUAAUGUUAGAUAUAGAAAUAUUGUGAAUACCUUUCUGAUGCACCAAAUGUUUUCUUAUUUGUUAUAAUACUUGUAUAAAAUAUUAAGUUAUGAAUCGAAAUUUGUUUUCUUAUUUGUUAUAAUGUUUUCCUAAAAUUGGUGUUUAUAACUUAUUUUUAUGGUUUUUAUAUCGUGAAUUAAGUUUAGAAUGUGUGUUAUUAUGUCAGUGUUUUCUCGAAAGAGAACAAAUAUAUUAAUUUAGGUUUUUUAAUUGUGAUUUUUAUGUUUAAAUGUUUCAAUUAUUGUCUUAAGCUGUGAAUUUGAAACAUCCAAAAAUCAUGAUAAAAAAUUCCGUUUUUAAUUAUUAAUAAAACCAUAAGUAUCAAAUCAACACAUAAAGUCAUAAGUCAUUGUAUCUCAAAAACAUCAUAAACAUCUAUCAACAUAUCAGAGUAGAAACAUCCCAGGCUAAAAUCAUGGUGUGUGCACUUCUGUCAUCUUGAGUUCUUCCCUUUGCUACCGGAAGUACCUGAAACCAAAACUAAAAACUGUAAGCACGAAGCUUACUGAUUCUUCCCAUACUACUAAAUACCAUACACAUAAUCACAUAAUCACAUAAUAAAAUAUCAUGGACCUUGCCCGCUACAUCGGGCCCCGCCCGACAUCGGACCGAAUUCCAGUAUACAUAUAAACAUAUCAACAAAUAAAUAUAAAUAUAGUUACAUAACAUAAACAUAUAAACAUUCUUCGGGCCCUACCCCACAUCAGACAGAAAUCUGGAAGCAUACAAUCAUUCAUCGGGCUUUUCCUGGCAUCGAACCGAAGUCCGAAAACAUAUAAAACAAGCACACGCAAGAAUCAUGAAGAUAUCAAGCAUACAAACAAAUCCUCGUGCUUGCCCCGACAUCAGACUGAAGUCCGGAAACAUAUAAACCUACAUCGGAUACUGCCCGACAUUGGACCCUAGUCCGGAAUAUACUAACAUACAUAAAUGGGCCGACAUUGGUGCCUUAGACUUGUUCUUAUAGGAGAAAACUCACCUCACACUACUGAAUUCCCGCAAAUAAAUCUCUGGCUGCCGGCUGACAGAUCCUCGAACUGUCAACAUCAAAAGAAAACCUAAUUAACCAUUUGGGUUUCACUGCAUAACCAUAAACCCACACUUGAGGGUAAAAGGACCAUUUUACCCCUAACCUAGCUUGAUCCAAGAUUAAGGCCCAAACUCAUUUUCUGAAGGCCUAAAAGUCAAAUAAUGAUCUAAGGCCCACAUAUGGCCCAAUUUUCGAAAUUAGGCCCACACCCCUCACAUGGGCAUUACCCUAAAGCCCUUCCAAAUAUUCUAGUCCAUAUACUUGUUCUUGGAUGGUCCAUCAAUAGCCCAAUCAACAAAGCCCAAAAGAAAGGCCCACCUCAAGGCCUAAACAAAAUUAGGGUUUUCACAUAAAAUGACAAUUAGGGUUAAGUGUUCUUACUUAACCCAUUAAGGACUUAAUGCAUUAAGUCCAUCACUCCACUAGACCAAUCAUACCAUGUGGCGGGCAUAAGCCAUAGAUUCAAUCCAAUGGUCCAAAAUGCGGGUCUCGGCAAGUCCAAACUAAAAUAUCCAAGAUUAGGGUUUUCUAAACCCUAAUUAGGGUUUCCAACCCAAUCACAAGCUAACUAAGCCCAUGAUUAAGCUAUUGGGCCGAUUAGGGUUUCAUUAUGUCGAUCACCACAUACUACCACCUCGGGCGGUGGUGGUCCAUGGCUGUUCACGGCGGCAGCCACCACCUCAUGGUGGUGGUGGUGGUGAUCUUCUUCACUUUUGACUAUGAAAAACUGAUAUAACAUUCAAAAUUACACACACAUAAUAUGGACACACACAACCACCUCCCACGGUGGUUAGUGACGGCAAUUGCUUGCAGAAAAUGACAGACACCAUGGUUGGCUGCUAUGGUGGUACGCCUCACCUCCGGCUGUCAUUCUUUAUGAUUCUAGCAGCAACACAAGUAAGAAACGAUGUGAAACAACAUCCCUCGGCCACCUACUUGGUGGCUGACAACGUCGAAGUUAGCGAAAACGACGGUUGAGGCCGGCAACGACAGCAAGGGCAUUCCCUACGUCACGCACACCGGAAAGAACGAAGGAGAAGAAUAAAUGGGUUAUAGCUAGCUUACCGAGUGCCUUCGGUCGUUCAUAACUCAAGUAGUGGCAUUCACAGCCUCUUUCGUUUGUCUCGGUUGCUCUUCCGGUUUCUCUUACGUCUUCGGAAGUAGCGUUGAGGUGGCGCUUAUCGGCGAGGCAGUAGGCGACGACCUUGUCUAAUUAGGAAAACAACAAGAAGAGAGGUGGCGGAUGAGGAGGCUCACAUGGUGGCAGUUGAUGAAGAUUAGGUUUAGGGUUCGCAUCUUCCAAACGAGAGGGAAAAGAGAUACGGGGUUAAAACCGUGUCUCAUUUCAAACUUUUGUCCAUAUUUCCAAAAUUAGCCCUUCCUCACAAAAUCUUUUUCAGUUUAAAUCCAAAAUUACCCUUUAGCCCCUGCCACUAUAAAUCCUUUCAUAUUAAGUCCAAAAAUUACCAAUUAGCCACCAACUUUAAUAAUCUAUUACAAUUUAAGUUUCAUAGUUACCAUUUAACCCUCAAUAAUAAAAAAUGUAGCUUUUAACACCCCAAUGUGUAAACCCCGUUAACUAGUACGACUUAGGGCUAAAAUUCAAUACUUAAAAAUACGUCUCGGGGGCUAGGGUUAAUUAUUUAUUUAUUUAUUUAUUUAUUUAAAAAAAAAGGACAUUUAUAGAAUUUUAUGUAUUAAGCUGUGAUUUUUGUGUUUUAAACUAUAAAUUAAUUGCAUUAAACUAUGAAAUUUCUGUUUAAAUUAUAAAUUGACUAUAUUAAGCUGUGAAUUUUUUGUAUUAAACUGUGAAUGCGUUAAGUUGUGAAUUUUGUUUAUUAUAAUGAGAAUUAAUCAUAUUAAGAAAAUUAAAUUGAUAAUAUGGUUAUGAAUUUAUACCAUUUGUGUACUAAAAUGUGAUUUUUUUUUUGUAUAAAUGUGAUUUUUAUGUUUCAAAAUAUGAAUUACCUGUAUUAAGUUGUGCAUUUUUUAUUUAAAAUGUGAAUUGACUAUAUAUUAAGCUAUUAAUUUUGUGUAUUAAACUAUGUUUUUAGUGUAUUAAACUAUGAAUUGACUGCAUUAAGCUAUGAAUUUUCUGUUUGAACUGUGAAUUGACGAUAUUAAGUUAUAACUUUUUAAUGAAUUUUGUGUUAACAUAGAAUGGUUUAACUAUGAAUGUUUGUUUUAAUUUUCUUGUUGAUAUAUUUAUUUUUUGUGUUGUAUAAAUAUGUAAGAGUGAAUUAGUUUUUAUAAUUAUUUUGCAUUGAACUCUAAAUAAGUGAAUUUAUUGGUAUAUUAAAUUGUGAAUAUAGUAUUUGAGUAAUCAAUUAAUGAUUUUAUAUACAUGUCUUAUUAGAAUGAUGAUUGCGACCAUAACAAAUGUGGUUGGUGGUGGCGUAUGGUAGUUGGUGGUGGUAGAGUUUGAAUUUAACUUCUUUAAAUAUGUGAAUUAGUAUAUAAUAGAUUGUAUUAUGUUAUGUUGUGAAUUUUAUAUAUUAAACUAUAAAUUGAUUGUAUUAAAUUGUAUAAUUUAUAUAAAUUUUGUGUUAAAAUAUGAAUAAAUGUAUGCUUAAAAAUAUUAAAUUUUGUAUUAUUGAAUUAAUAUGUUUAUUAAACUGUGAUGAAUGUACUUUAAAUUUAGAAUAUAUCUUAUACACAAUAUAUUUUUUAAACAAACUUACAAUUUAGAAAAAGGAAUAUUGAAUUUGUAAAGACACAUUCUAUUUUUUUUUUUAUUAAAAAUUUCUCUAUUUUAAGUAUUACCAAAGAAAUGUGAACUAUAACGUUUGUUCUAUUAAAUUAUGAACACGAACUCAAAAUUAUCAUUGAAUUUGGUGUUAG
rnacentral:lncRNA from 1 species